rnacentral:misc_RNA from 1 species
AACGCACAUUGCGCCCCUUGGUAUUCCAUGGGGCAUGCCUGUUCGAGCGUCAUUUGUACCCUCAAGCUUUGCUUGGUGUUGGGCGUUUUGUCUUUUUAGGAAGACUCGCCUCAAAGUAAUUGGCAGCCAGUGUUUUGGUAGUAAGCGCAGCACAUUUUGCGUCUUGGUCCCUCAACAGCGGCAUCCAUAAAGCCUCUUUCUCACUUUUGACCUCGGAUCAGGUAGGGAUACCCGCUGAACUUAA